rnacentral:lncRNA from 1 species
CCCAGCAGCAGUGUUCUGGAAUGCUAUGUGAAGGACAAACAUUCAGACCACGGGAGCAGUGUUCUAGAAUCCUACGUGAAGGACAAACAUUAAGACUCUCAUAGCAGUGUCCUGGAAUCAUAUCUGAGGAACAACCAUUCAGACACCAGCAGAAGUGUUCUGGAAUCCUAGGUGUGGGAAAAACAUUCAGAACCUAGUAGCAGUGUUCUGGAAUCCUAUGUGAGGGACAUACAUUCAGACCACGGCAGCAGUGUUCUGGAAUGGUAUGUGAAGGACAAACAUUCAGACCCUUGUAGCAGUGUUCCGGAAUUCUAUGUGAGGGACAAACAUUCAGACCACAGCAUCAGUGUUCUGGAAUCCUAUAUGACGGACCAACAUUCAGACCCUUGCAACAGUGUUCUGGAAUACUAGGUGAGGGAGAAAUAUUCACACCCUUGUAGCAGUGUUCUGGAAUUCUAUGUGACUGACAAACAUUCAGACUCCAGCAACAGUGUUCUGUAAUCCUAUGUGAGUGACAAACAUUCAGACCCCAAGAGCAGUGUUCUGAAAUCCUAUGUUAAGGGAAACAUUGAGACCCCAGCAUGAAUGUUCUGGAAUCCUAUGUGAGGGACAAACAUUCAGACCACGGCAGGAGUAUUCUGGAAUCCUAUGUGAGGAGCAAACAUUCAGACCACAGCAGAAGUGUUCUGGAAUCCUAUAUGAGGGAUAAGCAUUCAGACCCUCGUAGCAGUGUUCUGGAAUCCUAUGUGAGGGAGA